AAGCCAGUGGUGAACUCCACAUACGCAUCCUUUGCUGAGGAUACGGUUAACGGAGCGAAAGCGACGUUCAACCUCAAAAGAAGCAGAGGGGGCUUAGUGGUGGGGUGACUGCGUACCUUUUGUAUAAUGGGUCAGCGACUUAUAUUCUGUAGCAAGGUUAACCGCAUAGGGGAGCCGUAGGGAAACCGAGUCUUAACCGGGCGUUAAGUUGCAGGGUAUAGACCCGAAACCCGGUGAUCUAGCCAUGGGCAGGUUGAAGGUUGGGUAACACUAACUGGAGGACCGAACCGACUAAUGUUGAAAAAUUAGCGGAUGACCUGUGGCUGGGGGUGAAAGGCCAAUCAAACCGGGAGAUAGCUGGUUCUCCCCGAAAGCUAUUUAGGUAGCGCCUCGUGAAUUCAUCUCCGGGGGUAGAGCACUGUUUCGGCUAGGGGGCCAUCCCGGCUUACCAACCCGAUGCAAACUGCGAAUACCGGAGAAUGUUAUCACGGGAGACACACGGCGGGUGCUAACGUCCGUCGUGAAGAGGGAAACAACCCAGACCGCCAGCUAAGGUCCCAAAGUCAUGGUUAAGUGGGAAACGAUGUGGGAAGGCCCAGACAGCCAGGAUGUUGGCUUAGAAGCAGCCAUCAUUUAAAGAAAGCGUAAUAGCUCACUGGUCGAGUCGGCCUGCGCGGAAGAUGUAACGGGGCUAAACCAUG
rnacentral:rRNA from 1 species